UAAUUGAAGUAGUUUGCUGUGUUUGGAGCUGGGGCUUGAGUGCAGCAGUCUGCAGGAGAGAAGCCCUCAAGUGUUUGCUGUUGAUUGCUCUGCAAAUACUUUGUCAAGGUCUGCCACUGAGCGCACUGGAGAGCCCCCCGUGCUCCUGUGAGAUGCCCCAUCCACCCCACCAGCUCAGCAUUCACGAGUUGUGCCUGGUACAUCAAGGAUGCUGAUUCUACACAAGUGGCCUCCCUUUGGACAAUUCUUGAUUUAGGAGAUUAACAGAUCCCCAAAUACAUGGAAUUCAGUUCUCUUCCUCUUCUUCCAGAAGACCACCUUCCUUUGAGUGUUGCUGCAGGAAAGGAGCUUUCAUCCAAGGAAGUAUCGUGUGAGAAUUUUCCAUUUAUAGUCUCUCCAAGACAUGGUAAUUCUACCAUGUCCCAGACGUACCGUUUUCCUGCCGGCUUGAGUUACGGAUGCUUUUGCUGGCUUUGGCCUCGCCAGCUGGAGCAACUCACAUUGUUGUCCAGACGACCGAACCGUUUCCGUCGCAGCCACCCACGAUGCAUCAUACUUUGUCUAGAACUAUGUGCAGCAGGCAGAGACAUCUAGCUGUUGAAUAAUAUACUACUAUCAAACGUCCUAUACAAGCAGUGGCACCUUGAAGAUGGAGGAGGAGGAGGAAGGCACCGUUGUGCCGGAUACUGUCCAACUGUAUAGUAAUAGAAAGUUCCUUCUCAAUGGAGUAUACAUAAGGGCAAACAAGCCCGGGAGGAGAAAGGUCCUUGAAAGGAAAAGUAACUUGGCCAAAGUCAUAUAAUAAUACAUGCAGAUCACAAAUCCAGAUCCUGUGAUCCUGCCUAAAUUCUGCACUGCUGUUAUGGCUUUCCAUUAGAAUACCGUUAUUUUUUAACACAAAGUCUUGUCUUCCCUUAUUUUACAAUGAAAGAAAGUGAAGAACUAAAAUACAUUUUUUUUUUAAAAAAGGUUGGUCAUUCUGAAUUCCUGUUAAUAAAAUAAAAUUAAAAAAAAAACAAACAAAUUACAAUGAUGCACCCUAUUUGAUGGAUGAAAACUCUUGUUAAUUUCAUCCAAAUUCUCUGGCGAGGCAAAGAAGAGAUUUUUUUUUAUUUUAUUUAUUUAUUUUUUUUGCUUACAAUUUUGUGGUGCAUGUCUACACUAGCAUGUCUAUACUUUUAUAAAAUUCCAUUCAAGCUCUAUUUAAUAUGCAGCAGAAUUAUUGUACUUGCUAUAUAUCAACUUUAAAUCUGCUUCAAUACAACCUUAAAUGCCUUUCUUGCAGUAUAUCACUUCAUCAGUCUAGCUGAACUAGAGCUGCUUUGUCAUUUUUUUAUUGCACUCAUAAAAUCUAGGAAUGGAACACUUUGAUUUUUCUAGCAGUAAUUUUUAUUAUUUAGGGUUUUUUUAAAGUACUUGUCAAUGAGAUGCAGUACUUGUACAGAGUAUAUUUUUCAGCUCUGCAUUAUAUUUUUAUUUCAAUUUAUUUUAGACGGAAUGCAUAACAUUCAUCUAAAUAAUACCUAUGGUAUUUCAAAUGAGUGUAUUAUGACUAUAAUUAGAAUGAAUAUAAACCUACUUCGUUCAUCAAGCUUCCUAUAUUUUGUUCCCUGCAUCUAAGCAUAUGGCAUCUUUCAUGUAAGCCUUUAAAUGAUAACUCACACUAUGCUUUUAAUGCUGCACAUAACAUCGUAUCACAAUGUGGGGGAGGGAGGGAAAUUAGGUUCUUGUAAUUUUAAUGUUUUAAUUUCAAUUUUUUAGAGCUGUCUAGAUUUUUCCUUGGAGUGAGUUGUACCAGAACUUUUUAUUCCCCCCCACAACCUUAGGCAUAUAGAAAUUGCCAUAUUAAAUCAGGCCGGUAAUCUA